UACAGAGGUCCCAAGCGUUGUUCGGAUUUACUGGGCGUAAAGGGUGCGUAGGUGGUGAGGUAAGUCGGAUGUGAAAUCUCCAAGCUCAACUUGGAAACGGCAUUGGAAACUACCUUGCUUGAGGGUUUGAGGGGGGACUGGAAUACUUGGUGUAGCAGUGAAAUGCGUAGAUAUCAAGUGGAACACCAGUGGCGAAGGCGAGUCCCUGGAAAAUACCUGACACUGAGGCACGAAAGCUAGGGGAGCAAACAGG
rnacentral:rRNA from 1 species